GGGACUGCAGGGAAUGGGCUGCGGCCCUGGAAACGUGUGGGGAUUGCGGGGAAUGGGCUGGGCUGCAGCCUCGAAGGAGAGCCCUGAGCCUUGGACACGGCUCUUGUCCUCCUGCAGGGAGCUUUAGGGAGGAUGGAGAGCGGUCUUUUACGUCUAGUGACAAAACCUAUGGGAAUGGCUUCGAGCUGAAAGACAGUAGCGUGAAAAAUGCGUAUUUUGUGAUUGGCUUUUCGCAAAUGUUCCGAUGAAUAUUGAUUUGUAACAAGCUCAAGCAAGAAGAUGAGAUAAUCAAGAAACUCUUCACACAGAGAUGUCAGUGAAGGGGGCCCAUAAAAAGUUACAGCCUCCUUAUCAGAAAAGAGAAACAUUCUUCCACCUUCUCUCCGUCUUUUUUGGAACCAGCAAGAUUAAGGAGAAGAAGUUGACAAAAACCAGAAAAGUUCUUAAUUUGCAAG